rnacentral:rRNA from 1 species
UACAGAGGUCGCAAGCGUUAAUCGGAUUUACUGGGCGUAAAGCGUGUGUAGGUGGUUGUACAAGUCGGUUGUGAAAUCCCCGGGCUCAACCUGGGAACUGCUUCCGAGACUGUGCGACUAGAGAUCGGUAGAGGGCGGUGGAAUUUCCGGUGUAGCGGUGAAAUGCGUAGAUAUCGGAAGGAACACCAAUGGCGAAGGCAGACGCCUGGGCCUGAUCUGACACUGAGACACGAAAGCGUGGGGAUCAAACAGG